AGCGCCCACGCAAAAUUGUUACUGCCUCGAAAGCGCCCGCUCCGGCAACAGCUAAGGGGUCCCGUGAGUCAUAGUAUUUUCCGUACCGCGUCAAAUGCUUCCUGCGAUACAUCGGAGGAGGCAACCCCUAACCGUCGCCCGCAUAACGUACGCCAAGCGGCGCACUGACAGCCGGGCCCAACUCCCACCUCUGUGAACUGUGAACUGAGACUGUGAACGCUGCAGGGCGGGCACGGCGGCUACACUCACUGGACCAGAUAUUACUUCGACGAGAAACGGGUGAACGCUGGGCAUACCAAGGAGAAAGUGUUUUUAGACGCUACAGUGACCUCUCCGCAAGAUGCGUUUCGUCAAGGCUUUUCAAGUGGCCUUCGUGCACCAAGUGGUCAAGGGGGGCGCCUCAUCAUCCUGCGUGCUGGCAACGCCGAUGGCUUUGUUGAUGGAGGCUGCCUAGUUUUCCGUGCAAAGAAGGGCACUGGGGGAUUAGCACGUGGCAAUGGACGGUGCACGUUUUCAGAAAUCGUUCGUCGAGCAGCUGCCACCUCACAUUAAGCCGCCCAGUGUGAUUGUGAUGGAAAAUGCGCUUUAUCAUGUCACUCAGCCGGAGAAGGUAGGCUCAUCAACCCGAAAAAGCAGAAAUUAAUUCUUGGUUGAAGGCAAAAAAUAAUUUUUUUCCAAUGACCAGCUAAAGAGCGAACUGCUGCAGCUUGUCAAGAAAAAUAACCCUCGUUUCCUUGCUUAUCAUAUAGAUACACUCGCCAACGCUGCCGGUGAUGAGGUUGUUCGCUUGCCUCUAUACCAUUGCGAGCUAAAGCCCAUGGAGUUUGUAGUUUGUGUGGAGCCAAUUAAGUGAAAGGCCACGUUGCUUCGAACAACGCAAACUUUACCAUCGAGAAGGUGCUGCAUGAAGGCCUCGCAAGUGUGACGCAAGACGAUUGGUCCCACGACUGCGCUAACGUGAAAAGGCUAGAAGAUGAGGCGCAGGAACGUGAUGGAAACAUCUGAUGAUUUCUCUGGGCUCGGUCUCGAGUACUUCUGGUGAGUCAUGCAGCUCCGACAUGAGUGGCGUUGAUGGACUGUCGUGACCAUUUCCACAUGCACCGUGUGAAAGCAUCAAGCAAGUGAUCGCACAUGCAUUCAAUAUGAAACUGUGAUGCCGCUUCUUGAGCUUCAUCUGCCACUGCCAUUUAGUUGCAUAUUUGUUUGACAGCUUAUAUGCCUUGUCCUAAUUUAUUGUACUGAUCUCUCACUUCUUACAUUGCUGCAGUUUUUCUAUGUUCCGAUUUAUGACUCUGUAAUGUGACAGUAUACUGAUGUGUACUGUCGGCCAAAAAAGUAAACGGACCACGGCUUAGGUGGCCGGAGCAGCUGCGGGGCGCACCGGCGCUGCUAUCUUGCACCGCGCGCUGACCUCGAGAGUGCCCCGAGUGAUGCCAGACUUCGCCCUCACUCUCAUGCGGGGCCACAUCACGCUUGAUAAAUCUCUAGUGCGCCGUUCGGUUGCUCUGGCAAUGUCUCUCUCCCAUUCAUAUCUUGUACGUACAUGUUUCUCUAAACGCGUUGGCGCUGCGAGCAAUCAAAAGCAAAAUUGGAACUGAAAUCGGCUGCAAGUUGCCGGACUACUAGCGGAGUAACACGAAUGUGCAGAAGCCCCGUUUCCGUAGUCUUCACUGCACUGCCAAGAAGAACUAUGCCCGAAUAUAGUGCGGCAUUACACCAGGUCGCACUUCCGAGUUUUAAGCUGGAAGUCAGUGUGAGUGGCAGUUAAUUUUGCGCUCAGGAAUACCAUGUAGGGGUGUAGUUAACGAAAGGCAGUAUAUAUAUAAUACUUCCGGCCAGCUGGCAGCUUUCCCACUGGCCGCAAUUGUGCCAGUCAGCCUACGCGCACAGGUGUCAGGGGGUCACUGAGCACAGCACAGCUGCUAUGUACCUGAGCGCGAAAUCUUUGGAGUAUCAUCUGUUAAAUUGGAUACCUUUUAUACUGCGCAGACAACCAUGAUUUUUCGCGCGCUUAUCCAUCAGUGUCACGAAGAACCAUUUGUUUCAAACAGUGAAAAGACCGGACGUGACGAAAGCGAUACCAAACGGAAGUUCCGUUGAAAAGUUCUGCGUUGCUCUAGCGUUUUGUCGGUAUGCCCCCAUGUUCCGACUUACUACAUAACUCUUUCAAUACACGAGUAGCACGAAUGGCCGAUCACCAAAUAGCUCUGCGUGACCCCGUUACAUGCGCAAGCCGGCGUCUCCUACUGUUCCUUGUGCAGAUAAUCCCCUAUGAAAAUGGCCAUUGCCUUUAUGUUUCCUUUAUGUUUCCUUCUUGUGUCCUAUGUGACCUUUAUGUUUCCUUGUCCUUUGUGUGACCUCCAGGAUGUGAACUUUGUGUGUACUACGUGUUUACUCAUCCUAACGUAUACCUCGAGGAUGUUACCUUUAUUAUGCCUCUAGGAUGUGUCCUUUAUGUUUACGGCAGGAUGUUAACUGGAUGUGCACUAUGUGUUACCUGAGUGUACACUUGAGUGCACAUGUAGGUAACAUAGAGUGCACAUAACAACUGUCUUUACAUAUAAUAUAGGCAGAUCUAUCUGUACUGUGUGACAGGCAUUGAUACACUCAGCAGAGUCAUUGUAAGUACUAAAUCUUGACUUAUGCUUUCAUUUGGUCCAAGAAAACAACCCUUAUUAUAAUUCUUGUAGGAUGUGUCCUUUGUGUUUACGGCAGGAUGUUACCUAGGUGUGCACUUCAGUACACACGUAGGUAACAUAGAGCAUAUAGUGGGCGAGUUGGUUACGAUUCAUCGUACCUUUAGCAACAGCGCAAAAGCAACGCGGAAACAAGGAACACUCCGAAGAAACAGCGCCGUCUUGUUGUGUUUCUUCCUUUUGUCCGUGUCGCUUUCGCGCUGACCACAAGUACGAGUAACUGCUGUGUCGAUAUUAGCACGCGUAGAAGCAGGGCAGCGCGGAUCCCGUAAAUGCUUGCUUGGGCGUACAACUGAACAAUUUAUAAUUGUGAGUUGGCUAAGUAUGAAAGUUGUGUGCGGAGUAUGGCCGUAUUUGAUUACGCGAGCAUGCAAGCAGUACGCCUGUUUCACUUUGGCCGAAGUUCCGCUGCCGCUGCAAGCCAGCUAUCGCCACAUUUUGUCGCCUUCAUUCCUUACGCUACGAGCAAAUAUGGUGCCACCUAUGCAAGAUAAAGCCUGACAUUCUCAAAAACACGCCACUGGGCACCAUAAGAAGCGUGUAUAUGUGUGGCAAUUCCGAAUUUCUGAUCGGUAGGCGUCACAGCUCUCGCGGCUGCCCGCACACCGUGCGCCAUCCCAAGCGACGGAACAGCACAUGAUGCGCGCUGAUUGGCUCGUGUCCGCCGACAAACCACAGGACAAGCGUUCGCGCAUAGUUCGUCUAAAAUCUCUGCAUAUACUUUAAAAAAACAAGGCAGCGCACCAAGACACUUUAAAAUCAAUAAUUUGUGUUUAAAUACCAGCCUUCCUUCCAGCAACGACGUUUUUAAAUCUCGAAGGCCGUGCUUUUCCAAAAUGCACGCCCUAAAGAAAAAUGUAGAUCUCGGAGGCUAAAUUCACGUUUUAACCGCAGUGCGGCGCUGCCGCAGUGUAACGGUUGACGGUGAGCUGGGUCACGUUGUUUUGCUGUGAGCGGUGAGAGUGUUCGUUACACAGUAAUUUAAUCAUAUUUUCGAAGUGCCUAAACAAACUGUGAUCCGUACCGUGUGCAUUAACCAUCAGGAAACCUCUGGACUCGUGUAACGCCAUUAGUUCGCCUUAUGUUUCGUGUGAUACGCCAGUGUCUUGUGUAGCGCCCGUCCGAGCGGCCUUUGUUCUCGCCUCUCCGCGUUCGCUCGUGGAAUACCUGAUACUGUGGCUUCGAAUUAUGGUGCGUGAAAGAAUUUGUUGACAGUUGUGCUUUCGUGCGCUGGUGUUCAUCGGCGAUUCAACAGUGUUCGCGCUGGAAAGAGUGUCGUCGCGUGGUGCCUGCGAGACGAAGAAGCCGUUUGCUGACCACAUGGAAGGUGCCUUGUGAGCUCUCACCCAAGCAACACAUUCCAGAGGUCUGCUGUGAGCAGACGUGGCAAACUGAAGUAACAUUCAGAUAGUCCAAUAAACUGUUCGUAGUUUCAGACAAACUUUUGCAAAGUAUAGUCAAAACUUUCUUUUAAAAGUGCAAGCACUGAUCCAA